rnacentral:lncRNA from 1 species
GAAAAUUCUAUUGGGAUGUAUCCCGACCUACAGCCACAGAACUUCAGAGGCUCAACGUGGGGUUUUCCUUGGUAACUUAGAAGGCUUGGGAUAAAAGUGAGGAUGUUUUUCCAGAGUGCCUCCCUGUUGUGUCAUCGGGCAGACUAGAAGAAAACCCUGGUGCAGAUUGUGGAGUCUCCAGACUGCAGACUUAGUUUCCUGUCAUACAUUAUGCAUGGAGGGCUACUGAGAAGAUUAACUAAGAUACUGUGACCAAAACAUCUGCUAUCCAUAUAAAAACAGCUACAGGGAGCAAGAGUGCGAUGCCUGCACCGGAGUGCGGAGAGCCGGAUGCUCAAAAUUCAGUGUUUCCAGAGGUUUAACCAAGGAGAGAAGAACCACUCUGAAUAUGGGUGUCACCAUCCUAUCGGCUGCGGUCCUGGACUGAAUAAAGCCAAAAAAGGGGAAAGCCUAGGACCAAUGUUCACAUCUCUGCUUCCUGCCUGCAAAUGCUGCCGAUGUGACCAACUACGUCAUCUCCUGCUACCGCUACGUCAUCUCCUGCUACCGUGCCUUCCCACCUUAGACUGUGACCACCCUAGACCACCAGCCAAGAUAAACGUCCCCUCCCUUUAAGUUGCUUCUUGUCAGGUAUUUAGUCAACAGCGGUGAGAAAAGCAACUGAUGCAAUGGUGCGACACACCAGCCUGAAUAACCUUGGACUCCUGAUAGAUCUUGAUUCAUCUGUAAUCCCUGAGGCAUUCUGCAGCUAUACGAGCCAGGCAUGCAGCUUCAUCUCUGCAUCGCGGAGCAUAAGGUCUCUCCAUCGUGUAUAGACAACCUUUAUGGACAAGUGUCUGUCCACUUCCUAGUCAACACAGAAUGUUAGGUCUCAGGUAGUACAAAUAUGCAACAUGAGCUCUCAGCUGAGCUAUAGAAAGAUUUCUGGCAGUCAGAUAAGAACAAAUGUUCUUGAGGAACUCGUGAAAUGGGCUUUCUGUCCACCAAAAGGAGUCAAUUUCCUUGACCUACACACACACACACACACACACACACACACACACACACACACUAGCAUCCUGGCCCUUCUCUCCUUCCCUAAACUCCCAGGCCUGCUCCAAGUCUCCCCCAGCCACUAUCCUCCUUUUAAAUGAUUUUUAAUGAUUUUACACUCUGCCCUUGCUAGGCCACUUCUCUCACAGAUAGGCCUACCUACGUCCAGUCUGUUUCUUUUUCUCUCUGCUCUGGACUCUUCCGGAUACCUCUUACCCACAAUUCUCUCUCUUACCUUCACCCUUAAUGGAUCAGCCACUCAGACAGGCAGAUGUUUUAUUAUCUCCCCUAGCAUACAAAGACUCAGUAAAAGCUCUUUCCUUCAGUCUGAACUAUUGGCUUCCAGGGAGAGCCUGUGUCUCUGCUAAGCUGGUGACAGAUGACACUCUCUUUUAUGUUAAGAAAUCAUGGAAGUAACAUAGUUUAACAUACUCAUAAUAUACUCAUGUUUCUAAGUUAUUUACUAAUAAAUGUGUUCUAUACUUGUGUGUGUGUGUGUGUGUUUACAUAUGUUCACCAAUGUCCUAUGUGAGCUUUAAGCUCCUAAAAGGUUUGAACUGUUUCCCUGUGCCUUAUCUGAAACAAGGGCAGCCCUAGUGAUAGUCAGGACAGUGUGAGGGAAGGAGCUUAGGGCUUGAUUGUUUUAUAAGAUGCUCUGAUGGUUGUCAGAACAAACUUGUCUCAUACUGAAUAAAAUUUGGAAUGUUUUUGCUGUUUGACAAAUUUCAGCUGUCUUCCUUUCUAGACUUUUUAGUUAAAUCUAUGUAUUGUGUGUUCAGCACUGUCCUUUGAAAAGCACAUAGCUCAGAGUGUGUAGUGUCCUGUGGAUAAAUGCACUACCAUGCCAUUAGCAUCGUAAAAGAACCAAGGGUGAGCAAGCACUCUUCCUGUAGAGUUCUUCAAUGGAUCACCCAAUUGAGUCACUUCUUCAUGUAUCAAGUAUUUUGUCUUCCAGAAUGUAACCAUGGCAUUUUCAUCUCUCUCUCUCUAUCAUGAUGUUUUAAUUGUUAUCUUAAACAAUGCAUGUUAUACGAUGCUUUGUGUCCUAUAUUAUAAAACAAAAAGUACAUGUAUAUGUGUAUGUAUAUGUGUAUACAUACAAUGUUUUGUUAACUAAAUAAAUGCAACUAUCU